GUUGGUUAAGUCUAUAAGAAUGUUUUUGAAUGGUUUAAAAUCUAGCCAAAUUUUUUUCCUAUAAAAAGAUCCACUGCAUUCAUUUUUGCAACAGAUCUUCUAGCCUUCUUGAGUAAACCAAGCAUGCGGUAUGCCAGAUGAGAAUAUCUUCUCUCUCAAGGAGCUCAGAGUCGAGAGAAAGAGAAGGAGGGGAGAUUGGUGAGGUUAAUUCUGGGAAGCCAUGGUCAGACUCUCCGUUCAAGGAUCCAGACAGAAAAAUCCUAAUUCCUGCCACCAAAUGGUAUUUUAUUGGCAUUUCACCCCAUAGGACAACCUCAAUCCUCUACUCUCCUCUCCCCCUCCUCCUGCCUGAUGCUAUGAUGCCACAAUCCAGUCUCUGUGACUGGGGAUGUUUCCAUGGUGACAAGCAGUGAUGUCAUAAAGGGGGGAUUGUUACAGGGCUGAAUGAAAUCUGGCACCAGAUGCACCCUGUGCGGGGGGGAUGGGAGACAAACCCUGUGGACACAUCCCAGAAAAUGGGAAACAGAAUCACCCAAGGGAAGGCGAGGGCUGACCAGAGGGAGAGAAAGCUCCAAUCCCUUCCACACACUAACAGCCCCAUGUGGAAAAGAAAGGAUUUUACAGACCUCACCAAGACAAGAGUCAUUUUUCACCUAAGAAAAUCAAAGGAACGAAAAAGAGGCAGUGACUACCGGAGACUCCACCUUCUGGUCUAGGAAGAGCAAGCGGACAGUGGCUUCAUCCAUCAAAACCCCAGUGUAUCAAAUAUUUACUGAGUAAAAAGACACAGACUCUUUCCUAACAGAGCCUUAGAUUGCCACGUGUGUCUGAUUGCUCCAAAGACAGACCACUGUGAUCUUCAGCACAGCAUGCCUUUUAUUACAAGUCUUUACCAGAAAACUAGCCACCCCCUGCUUAAUUCCUAGAGGAAUUCAAACCACUUUGUUAAGAAAAUUCCCAGAGGAGAUUUUAUACCAAGGAGCAUCCCACAAUGCUGUCUGCCAUCUCUAGGUUCUCCAAAAGCAAGCCCAGCCUUGAUGAAGAGAGUGCCUGACAUCAGGGGAGUUCAGCUGGAUGGCGGAAGGAAGGAGAACUUUACCCUGAUGAGCAAUGCUUGGAUGUACGAAGUUCCCAUUGAACUGGAAGAACCUGAUUGGGGUGAUCAUCGUCCACAGCGGUUCCUUUUCUGUCUCCUGAAAUUGCAGAUGGAGUGACUGCCACCAAUUGUGAGUGCUGAGGAAUGGGUCCUUCUCAAUAAAAAGUUCCCCUUGGUCCCACAGGAGGCUUCUGGAUACCAGGGCUUUAGGCAAUGCAUAGUUACUUCUUUCUCUAGGCAGCUGCUUCUCCUGGACACGCUGCUCCUACAGAGUUUGGUCCACAGAAGCUGCUAAAUACGUGUGCAGUGUGCAUGUGU